rnacentral:rRNA from 1 species
UACGUAGGCCACAAGCGUUAUCCGGAUUUAUUGGGCGUAAAGAGCGUGUAGGCGGCCAUACAGGUCCGUUGUGAAAACUGGAGGCUUAACCUCCAGACGUCGAUGGAAACCGUAUGGCUAGAGUCCGGAAGAGGAGAGUGGAAUUCCUGGUGUAGCGGUGAAAUGCGCAGAUAUCAGGAAGAACACCCGUGGCGAAGGCGGCUCUCUGGGACGGUACUGACGCUGAGACGCGAAAGCGUGGGGAGCGAACAGG